UAAACUUUGUAAUGAUUAAAAAUUAGCAAAGGUAAAACUUACAGCAUGGUAAUUUUAGUAAAAAAGAUAUAAUGAAUAAAUCUACUUCUUCAUAACCCAGCAAGAAACAUUAAACUAUGCUAGAAAUAGUAAUUUAAUUUAGCCUUAUUAGCUGGACUAACUAGGUGCCAGCAGUCGCGGUCACACCUGGCAGCUAAGUUAAUUAAAUUAGGUAAGCUAAAAGAAAGAACUUUUAUAAUCAGGUGAAAUCGUUAUAAAAAGUAAUGUUGUUCUCUUAAUAAUUUUGCUCAAGCUCUCAAGAUAAACUAGGAUUAGAUACCCUACUAUAUAGAGUAUAAAUUUCAGACCUAAGCACUAAGACUAAAAAGUUAAAACUUAAAUUACAUGGCGGCAGUUAGAAAUUUCAGGGGAACUUGCCAAAUAAAUGAUAACCCCCAAAAAACACUACUUAUGUCCGAAGCUUGUAUAUCGCCGUCUUCAGUACUCAUUUAAGAUGACUUCUAAAUGUUAUAAAACAAAAAGACAGGUUAGAUGCAGCCUAUAUAUAAGUUUAGGUGAGUUACAAUAAUUAAUUUAUUUGAAUUUAUUUUGAAAUAAAAUAAUGAAAAUGGACUUGAAAGUAAAAAUUAUAAUAAACCUUAAUUGAAUUUUAAAUCUAAUUGUGCACAAAUCGCCCGUCGCUUUCGUUGAAAAAUGAAAUAAGUCGUAACAAAGUAGGUGUACCGGAAGGUGCACCU
rnacentral:ncRNA from 1 species